AGGUAAUAUAUUUAUAAAAACCUACUUAUAACGGCGGCUUUCACUCUUAUUAGAGGAAUCUGUUUUUUAAUCGAAAACACACGAUAAAUUUCACUUAUUUUAAAAUUUGUAUAUCACCGUCAAGAAUUAAUAAUAUUAAUUAAUCUAAAUAAAAAAUAAAAAGUUAGGUCAAGAUCCAAUUUACAUUUAAGUAAAUAAUGGAUUACAUUAAAUAUAUUUAAGAAAUAAAUUUAAAAAACUUUAAGAAAAAGGAUUUAUAAGUAAUAAAAUAAUAUUAUUUUAAUUUGAAUUAGAUUAAUAAAGUGC
rnacentral:rRNA from 1 species